rnacentral:misc_RNA from 1 species
AAGGAGCACAUGGCCGGUUGCGAGCGAAUGUCUCGCACGGUUGCUCAUGGGUGGAACGUUGACUAUUCGGCACACACGGUUGGGAUCUGCCAGUACUGCCUCUCGGGGCGUGGAAGACAGGGACCGCUUGGUGUGUCGGGCACGUUGUUGGGUCCUGAGGGAACGGCUUGCCGUUGUCUCUUGGAUGCCGGCUCCACUGGACGGGUGUGUUUCGCUGCCCGAUGGUGGAUGUCUGGUCGUUGUUUGAGAACUGCACAGUGGACGCGAGCAUCUGU